GUGUCAGCAGCCGCGGUAAUACGUAGGGUGCAAGCGUUAAUCGGAAUUACUGGGCGUAAAGCGUGCGCAGGCGGUUGUGCAAGACAGAUGUGAAAUCCCCGGGCUUAACCUGGGAACUGCAUUUGUGACUGCACGGCUAGAGUGUGUCAGAGGGGGGUAGAAUUCCACGUGUAGCAGUGAAAUGCGUAGAUAUGUGGAGGAAUACCGAUGGCGAAGGCAGCCCCCUGGGAUAACACUGACGCUCAUGCACGAAAGCGUGGGGAGCAAACAGGAUUAGAAACCCCCGUAGUCC
rnacentral:rRNA from 1 species